UACGGGAGGCAGCGGUGGGGAAUAUUGCACAAUGGGCGAAAGCCUGAUGCAGCUAUGCCGCGUGUAUGAAGAAGGCCUUAGGGUUGUAAAGUACUUUCAUCGGGGAGGAAAAACAAAACUAAUAAUUUUAUUUCUUGACGUUACCCGAAAAAGAAGCACCGGCUAACUCCGUGCCAGCAGCCGCGGUAAUACGGAGGGUGCUAGCGUUAAUCAGAAUUACUGGGCGUAAAGAGCACGUAGGUGGUUUUUUUAAGUCAGAUGUGAAAUCCCUGGGCUUAACCUGGAACUGCAUUUUGAAACUGAAAUACUAGAGUAUCGUAGAGGGAGGUAGAAUUCUAGGUGUAGCGGUGAAAUGCGUAGAUAUCUGGAGGAAUACCUGUGGCGAAAGCGGCCUCCUAAACGAAUACUGACACUGAGGUGCGAAAGCGUGGGGAGCAAACAGGGAUUAGAUACCCGU
rnacentral:rRNA from 1 species